GACGGAGGAGGCAAGCGUUGUUCGGAAUUAUUGGGCUUAAAGCGCGUGUAGGCGGUCCGGCAAGUGCUUUGUGAAAUCCCCCGGCUCAACCGGGGAACUGCUUGGCAUACUGCCGGACUUGAGGCUGGUAGAGGUGACUGGAACUCUAGGUGGAGCGGUGAAAUGCGUAGAUAUCUAGAGGAACGCCAGAGGCGAAAGCGGGUCACUGGGCCGGUUCUGACGCUGAGACGCGAAAGCGUAGGGAGCAAACAGG
rnacentral:misc_RNA from 1 species